UCAAAGGCUUUGUAGAGUCAGCCAGGCGAGGGGAGGAACCCUGGCCCUGGCCACGGAAAACAAAACUGUGACUCAAAGUUCUCACGAGAUGUUUCCUUGCUCAUCCACGUUCCUGAGUUUAAUGUCUUUGGCUUGGAAAUUAACUUUGAAGCUUUCCAACGCAGAUAAAAAUAGGGCUCCUAAAAGCCUAUCCCAGGCACUUUCUGAUAAGGUGGCCUUUUAAGGGAAGAUUGGGCUCCCGGCAGAGGGUCGGCUCAAGGAAUCUUGGCUGGUGCCGUGUCGAAGCUGGUGAAGCCUCUGCCUUCAGUGCUGGCAUCCCAUAUGGGUGCCGGUUCGAGUCCUGGCUGCUCCACUUCUGAUCCAGCUCUCUGCUAUGGCCUGGGAAAGCAGUGGAAGAGGCUUUGGGUCCCUGUACCUGCAUGGGCGACCUGGAAGAAGCUCCUGGCUCCUGGCUUCAGAUAGGCUCAGCUCCAGCCAUUGUGGCCAUUUGGGGAAUGAACCAGCAAAUGGGAGACCUCUCUUUCUCUCCAUCUGCCUCUGCCUCUGUAAUUCUGCCUUUCAAAUAAAUAAAUAAAUAAAUAAA